AUUGAACGCUGGCGGCAUGCCUUACACAUGCAAGUCGAACGGCAGCACGGGGCAACCUGGUGGCGAGUGGCGAACGGGUGAGUAAUGCAUCGGAACGUACCUUUCAGUGGGGGAUAACGUAGCGAAAGUUACGCUAAUACCGCAUAUUCUGUGAGCAGGAAAGCAGGGGAUCGCAAGACCUUGCGCUGAUUGAGCGGCCGAUGUCAGAUUAGCUAGUUGGUGAGGUAAAGGCUCACCAAGGCGACGAUCUGUAGCGGGUCUGAGAGGAUGAUCGGCCACACUGGAACUGAGACACGGUCCAGACUCCUACGGGAGGCAGCAGUGGGGAAUUUUGGACAAUGGGGGCAACCCUGAUCCAGCCAUGCCGCGUGAGUGAAGAAGGCCUUCGGGUUGUAAAGCUCUUUCGGCCGGGAAGAAAUCGCACGGGCUAAUACCCUGUGUGGAUGACGGUACCGGGAUAAGAAGCACCGGCUAACUACGUGCCAGCAGCCGCGGUAAAAC
rnacentral:rRNA from 1 species